GGGAAAGAAGCAUUAAGGUAAUGCGGUUGGCUUGAAACUAAUUAAAGGGGGUUCGAUUCCUUCCUUUCUCG
rnacentral:tRNA from 1 species